rnacentral:misc_RNA from 1 species
AACGCACAUUGCGCCCCUUGGUAUUCCGAGGGGCAUGCCUGUUCGAGCGUCAUUAUAACCACUCAAGCCUGGCUUGGUAUUGGGGUUCGCGGUUCCGCGGCUCUUAAAAUCAGUGGCGGCGCCAUCUGGCUCUAAGCGUAGUAAUCUUUCUCGCUACAGAGUCCCGGUGGAUGCUUGCCAGCAACCCCUUAUUUUCUUAGGUUGACCUCGGAUCAGGUAGGGAUACCCGCUGAACUUAA